UUAACUAAGGCGUCGUAUGCUGUUGGGUGUUGUAUUGUUAAUGGCUGGGUCGACCACUGGUGUACCGAUGUCUCCUGGGUAUGGCGGAUGCCAAACCGCAAUGCUGCCGCCUUACUACACAACAACAACAUACGCAACAACCGGUUCCUACACCACCAAGGCUCGAGAGUGUUACAAUUCAUGAUGCCCCGAGUUGCUACCCCGAACCCCGAGUUACAUCACCAGAGGCGGAGUACUACACCGAGGCUCCUAAGUACUACAACCGCAAUACUACACGUCUAUGUAUGCUGCCCCUGCCUACUACACCGAGGCCCCGCAUUACUACGACACCGAAGCGCUUAAGUACUACACUACAACCUACGUUGCCCCGAGCUACUACACCUACGUACCGAAGAAUUACUGUGCGUAAAAGGAGUCGUUGAAAAAAGAAGUCGUGCCCAGCAGUGCCUUAUCUGUCACCAACUGGAUUCCUCAUCGUGUAACCGAUUCUCAAUUAUGGAUAACUGGCGUCUUGCUCCUGUUGGAUUUUGUAUCGUUGAUGGCUGGGUCGACCACUGAUGUACCAAUGUCUCCGUGGUAUUCCGCAAACUAAACCGCAACGCCGCCGCCUUCCUAACUUACGCAACGACCAGUUCCUGCACCGAAGUCUUCAAGUACUACACCACUGAAGCACCGGAGUUUUAUACCACAACUUACGCUGCCCCGGGUCAUUACACUGACGCCCUGAAGUAUUACUCUGCCCCGAGUUACUACACCACCAAGGCGACGGAUUACUACAUGACAAUGCAUGCUGUCCCAUCCGACUACACCGAGGCUCCGAAUUGCUACACCGAGGCUCCCGCUGAUUACUCCACCAAAACGGCCGAAUACUACACCGAAGCGGGAAAGUCCUUCUCUGUCUGAUCUACACAACCACAACUGAGGCGACCAAGUAUUACGCAGUCCCUACUUACUAUCCAGAAGCUGCUCUUUCGUACUGAUGCUCCAGUCUACUACACCACGACCUACGCUACACCUAGCUACAACACCGCAGCUCCCAAGUACUACACCGAAGAAGCCGCCUGUUACACAUCCACGUACGCAGCCUGGAAUACCACAUCGAGGAAUUUAAGUAUUACCCUGCUCCAAAGUACUACCAUCUGAGGUUCAUAUGUAUUAAACCAGCAAUUCUCCCGACUAU